CUGCAGUGCACAUGUACUAAAAUUGGAAGGAUACAGAGAUUAGCAUGGCCCCAUGCAAGGGUGACAUGAAAUCCGUGAAGCACUCCAUAUUUUU
ensembl:snRNA U6 U6 spliceosomal RNA